UACGGAGGGGGCUAGCGUUAUUCGGAAUUACUGGGCGUAAAGGGCUCGUAGGCGGCCAACUAAGUCAGACGUGAGAUCCCUCGGCUUAACCGGGGAACUGCGUCUGAUACUGGAUGGCUAGAGGUUGGGAGAGGGAUGCGGAACUCCAGGUGUAGCGGUGAAAUGCGUAGAUAUCUGGAGGAACACCGGUGGCGAAGGCGGCAUCCCGGACCAAUUCUGACGCUGAGGAGCGAAAGCCAGGGGAGCAAACGGG
rnacentral:rRNA from 1 species